rnacentral:tRNA from 1 species
GCCGCGGUGGUGGAAUUGGUAGACACGCUGGUCUUAGGAACCAGUGCCUUAUGGUGUGAAGGUUCGAGUCCUUUCCGCGGCA